GAAGUAGAUAGCUUAACCGCAAGGGGGGCGUUUACCACGGUAUGAUUCAUGACUGGGGUGAAGUCGUAACAAGGUAACCGUAGGGGAACCUGCGGUUGGAUCACCUCCUUACCUUGAA
rnacentral:rRNA from 1 species